rnacentral:lncRNA from 1 species
UGACUUCUGAACAGUCUACUAGGUUGCUCUCUCACUAAACAGAGCCUCUACAAUUAAGUUAACCCGACUUCUCUAAUUAAUAAUUGUUUAUGAUCGUUGCCGAAGCUCCUAUAAUUGGACGUUCAAUCUAAACCGUCAGUUAUAAGUUAAUUUAGGGUUAUCGCUACAAGAAAGAAGAUCGUUAAAUAAAAGUACCUUUGUAUGUCGAUUCUGAUAUGAAUAUAUCAACUCAUAUAUGUUGUUAUGUUCGUCUUCUCCCUUCAACUUCUGUUAGGAGGUUAGGCUUUAUAGAACAGAUGUUCAUGAUAGAAGCUCCAGAAGCUUUUUCAACCAUUGAUUGUGUUUCAUGUCUAAUCACCCAAAUCUAGAGAUUACUUUUAUCUUCUCCCAUUCCAGUAUGUAUCCUCAAAACUAGCGCUGCUCUACACGAUUUAGAUCAAAUCUACCAAUAUCUCAGUAACAAAACCAAACCCUACUCUAUCAAUAGAAAUCGAUUAUAAUAUAAAUACUAAUCAAACUCCUAACCUUUGUUAUCAAUGUUACUCACUGCCGAUCUUUAAAUUGCUUCGGUUUAGAUUUCGAUACAUAAGUGUUCAGUCUCUAUGUCGGGAUUUUUGGUGAGGAUUCGACGACAGAUAUGAGCUCUGUUUAUAAUGAAACAAAAAAGUCCUUUUUCGAUAAAAAGAACAAGAAACGGUUGUUGGUUUCCCGUAAAAAAAACAAACAGAGUUUUAAUG